rnacentral:rRNA from 1 species
GACGAACGCUGGCGGCGUGCCUAAUACAUGCAAGUAGAACGCUGAAGGAGGAGCUUGCUUCUCUGGAUGAGUUGCGAACGGGUGAGUAACGCGUAGGUAACCUGCCUGGUAGCGGGGGAUAACUAUUGGAAACGAUAGCUAAUACCGCAUAAUAGUAGAUGUUGCAUGACAUUUGCUUAAAAGGUGCAAUUGCAUCACUACCAGAUGGACCUGCGUUGUAUUAGCUAGUUGGUGGGGUAACGGCUCACCAAGGCGACGAUACAUAGCCGACCUGAGAGGGUGAUCGGCCACACUGGGACUGAGACACGGCCCAGACUCCUACGGGAGGCAGCAGUAGGGAAUCUUCGGCAAUGGACGGAAGUCUGACCGAGCAACGCCGCGUGAGUGAAGAAGGUUUUCGGAUCGUAAAGCUCUGUUGUAAGAGAAGAACGAGUGUGAGAGUGGAAAGUUCACACUGUGACGGUAUCUUACCAGAAAGGUGCGGCUAACUACGUG